rnacentral:rRNA from 1 species
GAUGAACGCUAGCGGCAGGCCUAACACAUGCAAGUCGAGGGAGAAGCCCUUCGGGGCAGAAACCGGCGCACGGGUGCGUAACGCGUAUGCAACCUACCUUUCACAGGGGGAUAGCCCGAAGAAAUUUGGAUUAAUACCCCAUAAUAUUAUUGGAUGGCAUCAUUUGAUAAUUAAAAUUACGAUGGUGAAAGAUGGCAUGCGUCCUAUUAGCUAGUUGGAGUGGUAACGGCACCCCAAGGCUACGAUAGGUAGGGGUCCUGAGAGGGAGAUCCCCCACACUGGUACUGAGACAGGGACCAGACUCCUACGGGAGGCAGCAGUGAGGAAUAUUGGUCAAUGGUCGGAAGACUGAACCAGCCAUGCCGCGUGCAGGAAGAAUGCCUUAUGGGUUGUAAACUGCUUUUAUAUGGGAAGAAUAAGGAGUACGUGUACUUUG